rnacentral:pre_miRNA from 1 species
UAAUGAUGGCGCGGUGCGGUGCGAUGUGAUAUCAAAAAAUUCGCUCUCAUUCGCCAUCAUUCUU